AAGACCCUGGGGACGAGGUUGCCAACUCCUAAGACACUGCAAACGACUUGCGUGAACACUUGCUAAUGGCGAAACUUCGCUGCAAAUAUAGCAAUAUAAAGCACAACACCGCUUUUAAAAUGCCAACGAAAGCUAAAAGAGAAUCGUGGGUGAAAAAAGACUGAAGAAAUACAAAGUAAAUGCUGGUACUGGUAGGAGAGCGCAUUUCUUUCAAACAAAAAUCAAGCAAGACAUUGCAGUGCAUGCAAAACGGACGCUUGUCUAUGUGUGACUGAAAAUCAUAAAUUCUGGGACAGAGGAUCCGAUGUUUCAUGAUGAUGGUGAAUUUCUCUUUCAUCAAACUUAAUUAGAAAAAGAAGAAGUCAGGGGAAAAAGUGAAGUGGCGCUUUUCAAGUUUUCGUGGCCUUCGAUACUAGGGACUUUAAGAACCGAGAACGCGGCGGGUCUAGGACGCGACCGGAAGUGUUUUUUUCACAUUUUGCCCAACAGCGCAUGCGCAUGAAGUUCUCUCUUCUUGGCGGGAACGCGACGAAUCGAGUUUUGAAGUGCUGUAGAAAACCAGGUGUGUUCAACCAUGGCAUCAAACGUGCGAGAUGCAAAGGACAAACCUUUAAACAAUGUGAUCAUGUACUGGUCGACUGUCACAGACAAAGAAGAGAGAUUUCAGAGAGGGUGAUGUGGAUGUAAAACCUAAGCGACAAAGAAGGAAGGGAGGAGAUGCAAUUGAGUUUUUGAAAGAGAGAGCUGACAAAAACAGUGAACUUAGAGAAAAGGAGCUCAACAU